CCCGACUGCUAUCGGAGUGGGACUAAGCCAUGCGAGUCGAACGCCCCGGGCUGGCGGGGCGUGGCGUACGGCUCAGUAGCACGUGGCCAACCUACCCUGCGGACGGCUAUAACCCCGGGAAACUGGGGCUAAUAGCCGAUAGGGGAUGGGUGCUGGAACGCCCCGUCCCCAAAAGGGCUACACACCCAUGCCGUGUGUAGCCGCCGCAGGAUGGGGCUGCGCCCUAUCAGGUAGUAGGUGGGGUAACGGCCCACCUAGCCUAUAACGGGUGCGGGCCCUGGGAGGGGGAGCCCGGAGAUGGGCACUGAGACAAGGGCCCAGGCCCUACGGGGCGCAGCAGGCGCGAAACCUCCGCUAUGCGCGAAAGCGUGACGGGGCCACUCCGAGUGCCACCCGCAGAGGGUGGCUUUUGCCCAGUCCAAAAGGCUGGGCGAAUAAGGGGAGGGCAAGAUUGGUGUCAGCCGCCGCGGUAAUACCAACUCCCCGAGUGGUCGGGACGAUUAUUGGGCUUAAAGCGUCCGUAGCCGGUCAGGUGUGUCGUCGGUUAAAUCCGACGUCUCAAGCGUCGGACUGCCGGCGAUACUACCUGGCUAGGGAGCGGGAGAGGCGGCCGGUAUUCCCGGGGUAGGGGUAAAAUCCUAAGAUCCCGGGAGGACCAUCGGUGGCGAAGGCGGGCCGCUAGAACGCGUCCGACGGUGAGGGACGAAAGCUGGGGGAGCGAUCCGGAUUAGAUACCCGGGUAGUCCCAGCUGUAAACGAUGCAGGCUAGGUGUGCGGUCACCUUCGGGGUGGCCGUGUGCCGAAGGGAAACCGUUAAGCCUGCCGCCUGGGGAGUACGGCCGCAAGGCUGAAACUCUAGAGGGGAAAUAAAACUAAACCCCUCUAGGGCAGCAGACUUAAAGGAAUUGGCGGGGGAGCACCACAAGGGGUGGAGCCUGCGGUUC
rnacentral:rRNA from 1 species